AUCUUCAUCUCUCUGCACAAUGACCACGGUGAUGUCGAGGAUUCCCUUUCUUCAUCCACCAAACACCCAAUCCCUCACCCUCCUCCAACUCUUCUGCUCCACCGAUACCCCAACUGAAUCCCCACCCGACCCGCAAACCCCAAGACCCAGGCAGCUGCGUCGGGUUCGGAGCCCGGAAAAGCCCAAGGACAUUAUCUGCAGAAUAAUGGCCAAUCGGGGAUGGACGACCUCCAGAUUUCCAGAUCAGCGUCUCAUCAACUCCAGAUUUCCAUCAAAAACUCAAGAUCUGCAGGUAAGGGCAUCUUUGUGGAUGUUGAACACAUCAAUUUGCAUUGAUCUUAAGUGGAUCUCUGGAAGUAUUUGUUUUCUAUCUUAUUCUCUGAUACCCCUUAUGGGCAAACGAAGAAACAGUCUUUUUUGGGAGAUUGUGAGAUUUGGGUUAUCAAUUCGGCUCUGGUCAGGCAUGUCAAAUCCCCUUUGCAUCUGAAAUUCAUUAGAUGCAAACAAAGACUCAAUCUCUACAUAACACAGGUUGGAUCUCAAGAUUAUUCCUUCAAGAUAUGGAGAAUGACCAUGAAGUCGAACAUGAAAUUCAAGAUCUGCAGAAUCACCAUGAAGAACAAAAAGAACAACUAUGACUAUAAUUGAGAAUAAACGGAGGAAUUUAAAAUAAGUAUCUAAAUAUGAAUAAUUGUAAUACAUUUAUUCUGAAAUAUAAAUAUUAAUGAUAAUUUGGAAAUUUGGAAGUUAAUAUAAUUGAGAUUCAUAGGGGACCCACCUAAUAUAGCUCACACGGACAAGCUUUCCGUGUGAAAAUGAUUUAGCAACGCUCGCAACACAUACAAAUUGUGAA